GGCCGUCUUGCCGUAGAUGUCCAGGUCCCGCACCGCCCGCUUCUGGCUCAGCAUGACGUGGCUGCAGGGCAGCAGGUACCUGAGCACCAGCUGCAGCAUCACGUCCUCACAGUUGAGACUGAGCAGCGUCCGGAAGAGGCUCAGGGACACCAUGCAGAGCCGCGAGUUGCUAUUGAUGCGGCUGACGAGCGUGUCGAGGAUGGUGGCGUUG
rnacentral:lncRNA from 1 species